AUGGCUAAGCUAAUAAAAUUAUAUAAUUCUUUCCAGACUCAGCAAGCAAGGCAGUGUGGACAAUGGUUGGCCUGGUCAUGGUGGAUAUUGAGGUCAUUCUGGCUGGACAGUGCAUCCAUUCUGUUUGCUCAGAACUCAUACUGUACUGAUGCUAAACUGAUUUCAAGAAUAUCUAAGAAGGUCUCAGGAAAAGAGGCAGAACACGGCUGAAUACAGGAGGAGUAAGAAGGAGCUACUCAGAGAAAAUCAACUAAAAUUAUAGGUAAUUGGAAGAAAGGGGGGACAUAUAUCCUGAUGCCAAAAUCAGUCUGAAAUAAGAGACUUGUAG
rnacentral:lncRNA from 1 species